GGGAAACUGCCUGAUGGAGGGGGAUAACUACUGGAAACGGUAGCUAAUACCGCAUAACGUCGCAAGACCAAAGAGGGGGACCUUCGGGCCUCUUGCCAUCAGAUGUGCCCAGAUGGGAUUAGCUAGUAGGUGGGGUAACGGCUCACCUAGGCGACGAUCCCUAGCUGGUCUGAGAGGAUGACCAGCCACACUGGAACUGAGACACGGUCCAGACUCCUACGGGAGGCAGCAGUGGGGAAUAUUGCACAAUGGGCGCAAGCCUGAUGCAGCCAUGCCGCGUGUAUGAAGAAGGCCUUCGGGUUGUAAAGUACUUUCAGCGGGGAGGAAGGCGAUAAGGUUAAUAACCUUGUCGAUUGACGUUACCCGCAGAAGAAGCACCGGCUAACUCCGUGCCAGCAGCCGCGGUAAUACAGAGGGUGCAAGCGUUAAUCGGAAUUACUGGGCGUAAAGCGCACGCAGGCGGUCUGUCAAGUCGGAUGUGAAAUCCCCGGGCUCAACCUGGGAACUGCAUUCGAAACUGGCAGGCUGGAGUCUUGUAGAGGGGGGUAGAAUUCCAGGU
rnacentral:rRNA from 1 species